rnacentral:piRNA from 1 species
UGCUAGAUCCAAUCAAAUGGUGUCAAAAAC